GUGCUCUCUUCAGCAGCACAUAUACUAAAGUUGGAACGAUACAGAGAAGAUUAGCAUGGCCCCUGUGCAAGGAUGACAUGCAAAUUCAUGAAGCGUUCCAUAUUUUU
ensembl:snRNA U6 U6 spliceosomal RNA